rnacentral:rRNA from 1 species
GAUGAACGCUAGCUACAGGCUUAACACAUGCAAGUCGAGGGGAAACGAUAGAGAAAGCCUGCUUUUUCUAGGCGUCGACCGGCGCACGGGUGAGUAACGCGUAUCCAACCUGCCCACCACUUGGGGGUAACCUUGCGAACGUAAGACUAAUACCCAAUGAUAUCUCAAGAAGACAUCUGAAUGAGAUUAAAGCUUUAUCGGUGAUGGAUGGGGAUGCGUAUGAUUAGCUUGUUGGCGGGGUAACGGCCCACCAAGGCGACGAUCAGUAGGGGUUCUGAGAGGAAGGUCCCCCACAUUGGAACUGGGACACGGUCCAAACUCCGACGGGAGGCAGCAGUGAGGAAUAUUGGUCAAUGGGCGAGAGCCUGAACCAGCCAAGUAGCGUGAAGGAUGACGGCCCUAUGGGUUGUAAACUGCUUUUAUAAGGGAAUAAAGUGAGUCUCGUGAGGCUUUUUGCAUGUACCUUAUGAAUAAGGACCGGCUAAUUCCGUGCCAGCCGCCGCCGUAA